UGUAGUUUCAUUGGGGAUACACGACUUUUAGCAGCAAUGAGGAAGGAUGUAGGUGGUCUUGAGGGGUAAUGACUCACGAGAUAGGCGGGCGUUGCAUAUGCAUUCUCAGAGGCAUCAGAGAAUACAUGCGGGUCAGUCUCUUUCGGAUUUGGUUGGCGUAAGCAGCGAGGGAUCGUGAACUGCGAUAGCUCUGGAAGUUCCGAGAUCCACUUAUUUUAUUUCACUUGAAGUUGACUGGGUAACACCUCGUCCCAAC